rnacentral:rRNA from 1 species
UAGGGAAUUUUUCACAAUGAGCGAAAGCUUGAUGGAGCAAUGCCGCGUGAACGAUGAAGGUCUUUAAGAUUGUAAAGUUCUUUUAUUUGGGAAGAAUGACUUUAGCAGGUAAUGGCUAGAGUUUGACUGUACCAUUUUGAAUAAGUGACGACUAACUAUGUGCCAGCAGUCGCGGUAAUACAUAGGUCGCAAGCGUUAUCCGGAUUUAUUGGGCGUAAAGCAAGCGCAGGCGGAUUGAAAAGUCUGGUGUUAAAGGCAGCUGCUUAACAGUUGUAUGCAUUGAAAACUAUUAAUCUAGAGUGUGGUAGGGAGUUUUGGAAUUUCAUGUGGAGCGGUGAAAUGCGUAGAUAUAUGAAGGAACACCAGUGGCGAAGGCGAAGACUUAGGCCAUUACUGACGCUUAGGCUUGAAAGUGUGGGGAGCAAAUAGGAUUAGAUACCCUAGUAGUCCACACCGUAAACGAUAGAUACUAGCUGUCGGGGCGAUCCCCUCGGUAGUGAAGUUAACACAUUAAGUAUCUCGCCUGGGUAGUACAUUCGCAAGAAUG